rnacentral:lncRNA from 1 species
UGUUGAAAUUUGGAGGUGGGCCUUAGGCCGAUUAGAGAAUUUCAGAAAAUCUACAAGGGCCCAUGUAGGUGGUGGUAUGGCAAGGUGGUGGGAGUUUAGUCCCACCCCGCUAGUGGAGGAGAGUUUGGACCCNNNNNNNNNNGGGAAAACAAGCCAGUGGUGAACUGAGGAGAGUAACUUUACUAACCCACUCCGUUGGAGAUGCAAUACUCUCGGAUACUGUAUGGUAGGAUGACUACUGUCUUAAUGUGUUCUAAAGCUUAUAUGUAAGCAAGAUGCUGUCCUACAGAGCGAUCUUUGGAGGAACACACCUAUAUGAGCUUGACUGCUGGUCACAGUCUAUGAGAUUUGGGUGAUCUCUAGUAAACUCAUGAAUAGGCCAGGAGUGUGACUAAUAUGCUCCACCUGAGGGGUCACCUUCGGCAGCCUAGUACUAGUAAGACUUGUGGUGAAGCUCCUUUACGCCAAACUGACAAUUCAAGGCAUAGUCCAUUGUUCAGUUGUGAAGGGGUGUAGCUACUUGUUCUAGGUGCAGCUCAACCUUAACAGGUCUUCACUGAAAUGCUGGUAUAUUAAAACAGUGAUUGGAACGAGGGAACACGAUGUGCCCUUGAGAUCUGGUGGGUGAUUGUUGAAAUUUGGAGGUGGGCCUUAGGCCCAUUAGAGAAUUUCAGAAAAUCUACAAGGGCCCAUGUAAGUGGUGGUAUGGCAAAGUGGUGGGAGUUUAGUCCCACCCCGCUAGUGGAGGAGAGUUUGGACCCCUUUAUAAGGGUCUCUCUUCCACAUGCUAUUGGAGAGUGAGAAGAGAAGGUGCCCUCGCGCACUCCUCCUCCGCCGC